rnacentral:rRNA from 1 species
CUUACAGAUGGACCCGCGGCGCAUUAGCUAGUUGGUGAGGUAACGGCUCACCAAGGCGACGAUGCGUAGCCGACUUGAGAGGGUGAUCGGCCACACUGGGACUGAGACACGGCCCAGACUCCUACGGGAGGCAGCAGUAGGGAAUCUUCCGCAAUGGACGAAAGUCUGACGGAGCAACGCCGCGUGAGUGAUGAAGGUUUUCGGAUCGUAAAACUCUGUUGUUAGGGAAGAACAAGUAUCGUUCGAAUAGGGCGGUACCUUGACGGUACCUAACCAGAAAGCCACGGCUAACUACGUGCCAGCAGCCGCGGUAAUACGUAGGUGGCAAGCGUUGUCCGGAAUUAUUGGGCGUAAAGCGCGCGCAGGCGGUUUCUUAAGUCUGAUGUGAAAGCCCACGGCUCAACCGUGGAGGGUCAUUGGAAACUGGGAGACUUGAGUGCAGAAGAGAAGAGCGGAAUUCCACGUGUAGCGGUGAAAUGCGUAGAGAUGUGGAGGAACACCAGUGGCGAAGGCGGCUCUUUGGUCUGUAACUGACGCUGAGGCGCGAAAGCGUGGGGAGCGAACAGGAUUAGAUACCCUGGUAGUCCACGCCGUAAACGAUGAGUGCUAAGUGUUAGAGGGUUUCC